rnacentral:rRNA from 1 species
UCGAGAGGCUUUGUCAAUGGGGGCAACCCUGAACAAGCGACGCCGCGUGGAGGAUGAAGGCCUUUGGGUUGUAAACUCCUUUUGUUGGGGAAGAAAUGCGGUCAGGCGAAUAGCCUGGUCGUUUGACGGUACCCGACGAAUAAGCCCCGGCUAACUCCGUGCCAGCAGCCGCGGUAAUACGGGGGGAGCAAGCGUUGUUCGGAAUUACUGGGCGUAAAGGGCGCGUAGGCGGAACGUCAAGUUAGGGGUGAAAGGCCUGGGCUCAACCUAGGAACGGCCUCUAAAACUGACGAUCUAGAGUCCGGAAGAGGAUGGCGGAAUUCCCAGUGUAGAGGUGAAAUUCGUAGAUAUUGGGAAGAACACCGGUGGCGAAGGCGGCCAUCUGGUCCGGUACUGACGCUGAGGCGCGAAAGCGUGGGGAGCAA